rfam:TPA: Bos taurus chromosome 26, whole genome shotgun sequence.
GGUUCCAUGGUGUAGUGAUUAGCACUCUAGACUCUGAAUCCAGUGAUCCAAGUUCAAGUCUCGGUGGAACCU